GGCAGCCAGCUCCCCGCAGGUACCCGGGGAAAGGAGAGUGGAGGGCAAGGCAAGCGUCAGGUAGUUAACACCCCCAACAGGCUUUCCAGGGACAGACAGGCAGUAACACAGUGACAGGGGAGAGGUGUGGAUGCUCCAGUCACUUUCCAUCAGCACAGGAUAUCGCUUUCGAUCUUCCUCAUUCCUGUCGUGAUCCUUGUACCAAAAUGUCUUUUCUGCAACUUCAGAGCGUUGUGUAAUUUCUAAUUCAUAUCAGAGGCUGUCUUGAGGUUGGCCGCCCUGAGUUGCGUUUGUAAAGACUCCUUUCCCAGUGAAAGAAUGUGCGUUUUCCCAGCUUUGUCAACGUGGGAUGGAUACAGGUAUCUGGGUCACUUGCUUGCGCCAGUGGCCUAGGUGGGGAGGACAUUAAUAAACCCUGGCCUCAAAUGCAAAUCUUACCCAAGAAAAAUAAGAAUGGCCAUGAGAAUGAAAAAAGAUAGCCGCCUCCUCUCGCUCAUCCGCCGCUCGGUCUACAUCAGGUUCACGGAUCGUCUCCCCAACAGUGUUUUUGUUCUUUCUUCUCGUCCCUAGGUCGGAAGAUAUAAUUUACAGCCUCCAGAAGUCUCGCCGAGCCUGAUUGGAUGGUGUCCAGCUUUGCCGGAAUCAGGGAGGGAGAAGGGCAGCCCUGCCAAUGAGGGGCGAGACCGAUUAAAAGGGCCUCACCGGUGGAAUAUAAUCCCUCCUCUGUACUCACUGGUGACCAGCCACGGUUGUCUUUCAAAGGUAACAGUUCAUCUCCACCGUGGGGAUUGGCGUACGGUCCACAAAUAGGGCCUAAUGUGAUCCGACAGGCCUGAUUUCUCUAGAUAUAUAUUAAAACAACAUGCUCAGUGCUGAUGGCUCCCAGGUCCUGACCCUGAACAAGGCCUUAUGACGUCAGGCAACCUGCCCGGGAGAGCUGGCGGGGGCAGAAGGCCAGAGGGACAAGGUCAUCGGCUAAUGAAGUGGUCAGCAUUGAGUUUCUGUCACUCAGCUGGUUAAGAGGAAACUGAGAGGGAAGUCAAAGAAAAUGGGAACAUUUAAGGAACAAAGGAAAAGGCUACAUUGCCGCUAAGGCUCCGAAG
rnacentral:lncRNA from 1 species